rnacentral:rRNA from 1 species
AUUGAACGCUGGCGGCAGGCCUAACACAUGCAAGUCGGACGGUAACAGGAAGCAGCUUGCUGCUUCGCUGACGAGUGGCGGACGGGUGAGUAAAGUCUGGGAAACUGCCUGAUGGAGGGGGAUAACUACUGGAAACGGUAGCUAAUACCGCAUAACGUCGCAAGACCAAAGAGGGGGACCUUCGGGCCUCUUGCCAUCAGAUGUGCCCAGAUGGGAUUAGCUAGUAGGUGGGGUAAAGGCUCACCUAGGCGACGAUCCCUAGCUGGUCUGAGAGGAUGACCAGCCACACUGGAACUGAGACACGGUCCAGACUCCUACGGGAGGCAGCAGUGGGGAAGAUUGCACAAUGGGCGCAAGCCUGAUGCAGCCAUGCCGCGUGUAUGAAGAAGGCCUUCGGGUUGUAAAGUACUUUCAGCGGGGAGGAAGGCAAUGCGGUUAAUAACCGUGUUGAUUGACGUUACCCGCAGAGGAAGCACCGGCUAACUCCGUGCCAGCAGCCGCGGUAA